GCAUAGGUUUGAAUUUAGGGCAGGUCAGUCUCCCUGGGCCUCUCAUAGUGUUCUAUUCCAGAGAAAAUUGCAUCCCUGAAUCACACUACCUGUCCUCUCCCGGUAGGCUGCUGGCACUGAAGGAGAUUGUACAGAA
ensembl:snoRNA